rnacentral:lncRNA from 1 species
AUCUCUUUCUGGACAUUUCUCAUUUGUGAAGCUUUUCAUCAUGAGCCUAAAUCUUAAGAUACAGAUUGUUUCCAUGCAACUUUGGAGAGAUUCAUUUUCCUUCCAGCAAAGGCACGUAACAGAGAACAGUCAGGACACUACUGCAAUGGAUUCACAUUAUUGAAGUGAUGGUAACACUAGGGUCAUUUAAUGUUUGAAAAGCACACAACACAUUGCAAAAUGUGCCAAUUGGAUAGUAAUAGAUCUUCAAUGUGUAUUAAAAAUGAAGUGCUUCUACGGGUCACGGUACAUGUUAAAAGGUUUUAAAAGCAUUGCUUAAAGGGCUUCUAUAUUGGUGUUUUAAUGAUAAGCAUUUUCACUUAAUUUAGACUUGGGCUUGGACCAAAAACCCAGCAUCUUAUAUUGUAUGCUGUAAAUUUGAAUCUGUUUGAUUCUGGAGUUCAGUGGCCCUCUGGACAUCUAUAUCCAGGAGUCCAACCAAAUGAAAGAUAGCUUUGGCUGCAUUGUAGUGGGCCAUUUGCAUUAAAUAACUCCUAAGAUGAUUUUAAUAGUGUUCUUUUACUGUGUAACCAAGUACUUCUAAGAAGAGACCAAUUGUCUGUCUGCAUUGAGCUAUCCUGCCUGGAAUGCAUAUUCACCACAGAACCAUCUCAGUGCAGAAGCUUUUUUAAGUUCAUCAAAAGUUGUAAGUCUGGAGCAGUCCAGACUAUACCAAAGAUGACAUUCUUGUGCUUCAUAUUCAUUCAACCUUCAAUAUCAGGCAACUAAGAAAACUUCUGUUGAUGUUAAUGGGAGUCUGCAUUGUAUUAUAGCUGGUUUUGAAAUCCUGGCUCUUAAGAUGUCAUAAAGCAAAUAGGGAUGGAGAAACUAGAGCUUGCUAACCACAAAAACUGAGGAAAUAGCCCUUAUGAUGUUUGCUUGGGGACUGAUUGUUAUUUUUGCUCACAUUUUUAAAAUAAUAGGUGUUGAGAAAAUAGCCCUUGUAUUGUUCACUUGGGAGCAGAUAAUCAUUUUUGUUAACUUACUUUGAAUUCUGUAUUAUUAGUAAGAUAACAGAUCUGACAGUGGCAUCUGCCAGUGAAAUGUCUAUCCUACAUACUCUGUUCAGUAUUUAGAGAUUUACUGGUUAGUUAAAUGUAAAGGUGUUGCCUCAGCUCUGUCUGGAUCAUGAAAAUACUCUAAUGAAUAUAAAUAACAAAGAUUUUUGUAUGAACUAUUUCCACUAAUUAUAACUAUUAAGUAGUUUCUUCUGCCCAGCUCCCAUCAUUCCUGAAACGUUCAGAUAAACAUAAAACAUCUCACAAAAUCUACAAAUAAAAAGCAGAAAGAAACUACUAGUAAGAUUCAAACAUGCUUUGACAUUCGAGCCCUAUAUUUUCAUUCCUUUCUGUAUAAUUGGCAUCUGUAAUGCCAAAUAAUAUUAAAAAGCUAAUAAAAAAAUUGUACAUUAAAGGCUUUACUGU